rnacentral:rRNA from 1 species
UACGGGGGGAGCAAGCGUUGUUCGGAUUUACUGGGCGUAAAGGGCGCGUAGGCGGUGCGGUAAGUCACCUGUGAAACCUCUGGGCUUAACUCAGAGCCUGCAGGCGAAACUGCCGUGCUUGAGUGUGGGGAGAGGUGCGUGGAAUUCCCGGGUGUAGCGGAUGAAAUGCGUAGAUAUCGGGAGGAACACCUGUGGCGAAAGCGGCGCACUGGACCACAACUGACGCUGAGGCGCGAAAGCUAGGGGAGCAAACAGG